UACGUAGGGUGCGAGCGUUAAUCGGAAUUACUGGGCGUAAAGGGUGCGCAGGCGGUUAUAUAAGACAGAUGUGAAAUCCCCGGGCUCAACCUGGGAACCUGCGUUUGUGACUGUAUGACUAGAGUACGGUAGAGAGGGGUGGAAUUCCUGGUGUAGCAGUGGAAAUGCGUAGAUAUCAGGAGGAACAUCGAUGGCGAAGGCA
rnacentral:rRNA from 1 species